UGUAGAUGUAGCUCAGUGGUAGAGUGCUUGCCUAGCAAGCAUGAGAUGCUGGGUUCAAUCCCCAGCACUGCAA